CGUAGGGGUGCUUCCAUCUGGAAGAAUCUGGAGACAGGUGCUGCAUGGCUGUCGUCAGCUCGUGUCGUGAGAUGUUGGGUUAAGUCCCGCAACGAGCGCAACCCUUGCCUUUAGUUGCCAGCAGUUCGGCUGGGCACUCUAAAGGGACUGCCGGUGUUAAACCGGAGGAAGGUGGGGAUGACGUCAAGUCCUCAUGGCCUUUAUGACCAGGGCUACACACGUACUACAAUGGCCGAUACAAAGGGCAGCGACACUGCGAGGUGAAGCCAAUCCCGUAAAAUCGGUCUCAGUCCGGAUUGGAGUCUGCAACUCGACUCCAUGAAGUUGGAAUCGCUAGUAAUCGUGGAUCAGCAUGCCACGGUGAAUACGUUCCCGGGCCUU
rnacentral:rRNA from 1 species